GUCCUAUUGACGACAGCUUCCCCAAAAACACCAGUCCUCCUGAGUCCUCCUCCUCCUCCCCUCCUCCUGUAGACUGUGGGCUGUGUUGGAUGUUGCUGUUCAAUCUGUGUCCUGUGUCUGCUCUCCUCUCCUCUCUCCUCUCCUCCACCUGUGUCUACUCCUUCUGCAGAACAACAGCUGCAACUGAGACGCAGGUUCCUCUGAACAAGACCACGACCAGGGGAAGAGGAAGGAGACCUGUUUUACGCCUCGUUGGAUAUCCGUCAGGGACAGAGGAGACCAAAGAAGAAGAAGAAGAGACCUAUACCAUCCAUCAAUACCAGCAGAGUGUGAGACCUAUACCAUCCAUCAAUACCAUUAGAAUGUGAGACCUAUACCAUCCAUCAAUUCCAACAGAGUGAGACCUAUACCAUCCAUCAAUACCAGC
rnacentral:lncRNA from 1 species